AUUUUCUUUUUUAUUAUACUUUAAGUUCUGGGAUACAUGUGCAGAAUGUGCAGAUUUGUUACAUAGGUAUACCUACGCCAUGGUGGUUUCUGCACCCAUCGACCCGUCAUCUACAUUAGAGCCAGGUUUCUCUAUUUUGUGGAUUACUGUACACAUGGGCAGUGCUUCUUAGACAGUGGCUUCACACGGGAAUGAGCAGGCUGUAAAGCAGCAUUACCAGGGGAAACCCCCAGGGACAGCAUCCGCGGGGUUCCACUGAAGGACCAACCUCCGCACAGACGGGGAAUUAUUGGGUCAAAGCAACAGAAGAGAGUGUUCAUGAUAAGCAUGGCCAAAUUGCUUUCCACGGACGCAGAGCUGACCGACACCUCCACCAGCCACGCACGGACGGGCUGUGCCGCUGCACCGUCACCAACACUAAGCGCCACCACAAAAGUGGACGUGCCGAUUUGGUGGGUGAAAACUGGUGUUUUCAUAUUUUUAUUUUAUUAAUUUGUGCAUCUUGGCUCACCCUGAGGCUCCACAUGUUCCUAAAGUGUACCGGGUGUUCCAAAUUUCCUUUCUUGCUUUGACUGUUUAUAUCCCUUCUAUUUGGUUUUCACGUUUUUCUUAAAAAUUUCUAUGAAAAUAAUUGUCAAUUAAUGUUCCA